UGUCCAGGAACCCAAUGAGCC
rnacentral:miRNA from 1 species